rnacentral:lncRNA from 1 species
AAGUCUUUGCCUGUCGAAGGAAAUUGCGUAGCUAAAAAUAAUAUAUAUGCAGUACAAACAAUAUAUUGAUAGAAACCAGAACUGAAUUAUUUCAAGUGUUCAUGGAACACAACACCCAUUUCUGCACUUCUCUUGGGGCUGCGAAAAUGAAAACAAAACAAAAAGGCUUAUUCCAGUCUGGUCAGGAGAUCAUAUUUGGACUACAAAAUUGAAACCCUAAGUUCGAACUGUCGGGAAGUCCAUGUCUCCCUAAUAACAAGAAGACAAUGCAAUCUCACAUCUUCUCAACGUCCCAGAUAAAGAAACUUCAUAGUGUAGCAAAAAUUUGUUUGCUCCAUCGGCAAUCGCAUAGAUGCAGAAAACAAGUUGGCCAAUCCAUCAGCAUGAAGAAAAUUCACAUUGUUAAGAAUUUGAAUGGUAGAAAGGCAAUUUGAUGAAAGUGAUCAAAAUGAAUGCACAUGGUAAACCCUAUAGACAAAUCUAACAACUUGCGAUGAACACAUAGGCCAAGAUAGCAAAAACAGUGAGUCCAUCAGAACAUUUUCUAUAACAUCAAAUGAGAAACAUAGAUUGUAACUCAUACAAAUAAACAACCUGGUAAAGUUUCUGUCGGCUGGUCAUCUAGAUUUACCUAUCAGCAUUUUUUCUACAAAUUAAUCAUGUUCUAGAUAAUUGUCUUCUUUUCACAGGAAAUGCUAGCUUGCGAUAAUGUUCUGCAUAACCUUGAAUCCACUGCAUAUUUUUUACAGCUUGAAUCCUCUGUAUCCGAAUAAUGCAUAGAAAAACAAAUUAUACACUUAACCUGGAUCGGUGAUGGUAAAGCUACGCAAUGGUAGAAAGAAAUAUCACUUCACUCUUCAGUUUCAUUCAUACAGUAAGCUUAGUCAGAUUAUUUCCCUUAUCAUAGAUUCAUUUUGGCUUAUAUACAACAAUCUAAGCACAAAUCUAAAAGCUGAGAGAGGACUUACCGAUAAAUCAUAACAAGCUCAAUCGAAACAUGGAAAUUGCAAAAUAUCAUAGGAAAAUGUUUUUAGCAGAAAAAA